GUUUUCCUUCAGAGAUUAUUCACAGAUGUCCCACAGCCCAUAGCAAAUACAGGGCAUAUUAAGUUCAAAUAAAUAUAUGCAAAUAUGUGUGGAAAUGGCCUGUAGCCUGCAGGAGCCUGAGGAGAAGAGAGGAGCUAGCAGCCCCAGUCAAGUCUAGCGAAGUGCAUCUUGGCCUGCAGUGAUGGCUGUUUCCCCCAGAAAGUUCUUCCACUUCUGGAUCCCACCUCGACUGAACCUUACACAAUCUACUGCUGGACUUUCCAAUGGCAUGAGUUGGUCUCAACACGUGGCAGUAGGCAGCAGAAUUAAUUCCCUGUGCCUCCUGCAAUUCCCUGAGCCUCCCUUUCUCAAAACGCCAGCUUUCUCACAAGGAUAGCCUGAGACAUACGGAAGUGGGAAUGAUGUUCUGUUCUCAGGUGAAGUGUUUGUGCAUAUGUGUGUGUCGGGGGAGAGGAAGGUAAGCAAAACCAGUUGUUCUCAGAUGACUUGCAGCACCUGAGCAUGUCCUUUAUUUUAUCUUUUUUUUAAAAAAAAUACUUAAUAGCAUUUUCACUUCCUAGUUUCUCCAUUAUGUUGAAGUUGAAUAGUCUUUGGUAGGUCUUGUCUUACUUUUCAAGAACAUUAUGGGAAUUCUGCAAAAAGAUAGCUACAUGCAAAGCUAUCAUUUCUAUUGUUACAAAAAUAUGUGACACACUUACCUUAUGCUAUCAAAGAUGAAUGCUAUCCUCCACAUAUCCUUUAAAUGGGCUUCACAAGAAGAGGAUGGUCCCAUUUCUGAACAUUGCCUUGUCAAUGGAUGAGGAGGUUUGCACUCAGUCAAACUGGUUAAGCUAGAAUCAUAUUUCCCUAAAUCUCUUGUCCUGUUUAUUUCCAGGUGAUGAUUGGCCAAUAAAAUAAAUUUAGACGUGAUUUGGAUAGUAAAAAUGAAGCCACAGUCACUGAUCACUGAAGAUCAUUGUGGGUACAGGUGGGAGCUAAGAGCUAGCAAGGUAUCAGUGGGAUUUACAAGUCUUUUCUUUAUUCUUUAUCCUGCUCUUCUUGUCAAUUGCCAGAUUUCCUGACCAACAAAGGGCCCAGGCCGACUGCCACAAGUCUGAAUGCAGACCUGCAGAAGCAGCAGCAACUCAAAAGGACAGCAUUCCACAGACCUUCCCUGCACUGCCCUUCAUAGCCCACUCUGCAGCUGGACCUGCCUACUCGCCAUACACCCUGAAAGCUCCCACUUAUCCACCUAACCUCAACUUGCUCUAGUGUUCGAGGAGGGCUGAGUGGUGGUUUUCCUCGGGCCUUCCAACACUUGCCCUUCUCCCCCAAGUAUUACAAGCCCUCAUUCUAAAUAUAUCCCUGAUUUCAUAAUACUAAUAGAAGUGCUGCUUCUCUGAUUAAACCCUGACUGACACAUGGAGUGUUUUAUUACCAUUUAAUAAACAUCAUGUCAAACCUAAUGAUUUACGGUCAACAUAAAUUACACAGGGAAGGUGAGCAAAAGAAUCCCUUUCCUUUUUGCCUCUAUGCUGUUCUAGUUUCAGCUGGCCUGAGCUUCCCUCUCUUGGACUCUUCAGUCUAACAGCUAACCCAUAUAUGACACAAAGAUCAAAGGUCAGAUUCUUGGGCUCCAUUAAGGCUGCUACUUUAAAUGACAGCACUAUUUAUGGACUCUUUAUUGAAGACAGAUCACCCUUGGAGGCUGCCACAACCUUUACUCAUAAAUCAGACAUCAAGUGCCUCUUGGGGGCUAAAUACUGCCUCUCCUGUUGAAGACAUGAAGGGGUGUAACAUAUACUCAAUUUGCUGCCACACAAGGAUUUAGAAUCUGCUUACUCCCUCAACCUAGGACUCAAGGUCCAGACAAGGAAAUUUGAUUUUUUUUUUCUUCCUUUUUCUUUCCCUGCCAGCCACACACACCAG
rnacentral:lncRNA from 1 species